rnacentral:rRNA from 1 species
AGAGUUUGAUCAUGGCUCAGGACGAACGCUGGCGGCGUGCUUAACACAUGCAAGUCGAACGGAAAGUGCCCAGCUUGCUGGGUGACUCGAGUGGCGAACGGGUGAGUAACACGUGGGUGAUCUGCCCUGCACUUUGGGAUAAGCCUGGGAAACUGGGUCUAAUACCGAAUACACCCUGCUGGUCGCAUGGCCUGGUGGGGGAAAGCUUUUGCGGUGUGGGAUGGGCCCGCGGCCUAUCAGCUUGUUGGUGGGGUGAUGGCCUACCAAGGCGACGACGGGUAGCCGGCCUGAGAGGGUGUCCGGCCACACUGGGACUGAGAUACGGCCCAGACUCCUACGGGAGGCAGCAGUGGGGAAUAUUGCACAAUGGGCGCAAGCCUGAUGCAGCGACGCCGCGUGAGGGAUGACGGCCUUCGGGUUGUAAACCUCUUUCAAUAGGGACGAAGCGUAAGUGACGGUACCUAUAGAAGAAGCACCGGCCAACUACGUGCCAGCAGCCGCGGUAAUACGUAGGGUGCGAGCGUUGUCCGGAAUUACUGGGCGUAAAGAGCUCGUAGGUGGUUUGUCGCGUUGUUCGUGAAAACUCACAACUCAAUUGUGGGCGUGCGGGCGAUACGGGCAGACUGGAGUACUGCAGGGGAGACUGGAAUUCCUGGUGUAGCGGUGGAAUGCGCAGAUAUCAGGAGGAACACCGGUGGCGAAGGCGGGUCUCUGGGCAGUAACUGACGCUGAGGAGCGAAAGCGUGGGGAGCGAACAGGAUUAGAUACCCUCGUAGUCC